rnacentral:rRNA from 1 species
AUUGAACGCUGGCGGUAUGCUUAACACAUGCAAGUCGAACGAUGAGAAAGAGCUUGCUCUUUCGAUUAGUGGCGGACGGGUGCGUAACGCGUAGGAAUCUACCUAUUAGUGGGGGACAACUUAGGGAAACUUAAGCUAAUACCGCAUACGCCCUACGGGGGAAAGAAGGGGAUCGCAAGACCUUUUGCUAAUAGAUGAGCCUGCGUAGGAUUAGCUAGUUGGUGGGGUAAAAGCUCACCAAGGCGACGAUCCUUAACUGGUUUGAGAGAAUGAUCAGUCACACUGGAACUGUGACACGGUCCAGACUCCUACGGGAGGCAGCAGUGGGGAAUAUUGGACAAUGGGCGAAAGCCUGAUCCAGCAAUGCCGCGUGUGUGAAGAAAGCCUUAGGGUUGUAAAGCACUUUCAAUUGGAAGGAAAACCUCGAAGCUAAUACCUUCGAGUUUGACAUUACCUUUAGAAGAAGCACCGGCUAACUCCGUGCCAGCCGCCGCAGUAA